CUACGGGACGCUGCAGUGGGGAAUAUUGGGCAAUGGGCGCAAGCCUGACCCAGCAACGCCGCGUGAGGGAAGAAGGUUUUCGGAUUGUAAACCUCUGUCCUUGGGGACGAAGAAGUGACGGUACCCAAGGAGGAAGCUCCGGCUAACUACGUGCCAGCAGCCGCGGUAAUACGUAGGGAGCAAGCGUUGUCCGGAAUUACUGGGCGUAAAGGGUGCGUAGGCGGCAUAUUAAGUCAGGUGUGAAAUACUCGGGCUCAACCCGAGGGGUGCAUUUGAAACUGAUAAGCUUGAGUGUGAGAGAGGAAAGUGGAAUUCCUAGUGUAGCGGUGGCAUGCGUAGAUAUUAGGAGGAACACCAGUGGCGAAGGCGACCUUCUGGCUCAUAACUGACGCUGAGGCACGAAAGCGUGGGGAGCAAACAGGAUUAGAUACCCUAGUAGUC
rnacentral:rRNA from 1 species